UCAACUCUCCAAAAGUUUGCCAACAGAAAGGAUCAUACAUGUGAUAUUGUUCUUGCAGUGGUUUUAGUUCUAUGGUAGUUAGGCUUACAUCUAUACAUGGGAGGGCGUCACUGCAGGCGAAGUGUACAGGUUUUACUGUCAGGACUCGACAGGUGACAUGUGAGCCUGUUUAGCAUUUGUUGCUAUGCUAUGCUACAACUUGUCAAGCCUUCACUUAGAGAAGUGGAUGUCAUGAGUAAGGAAUAAAGAAGUAUUGGAUUAGUCUCUCAGUUGUAAUUGUAGAAUGUAGUUGUGGCAUCAAAGUAGUAUAAAUAAAAACUUACUUGUAAAAUAAAGAUAUCCAAGAUCAUUAGUAAUCAAAGAUUUUCUUUCUCUUAAUUCCGUUUUCUUCUACUCCUCCCUUCUUUUCUCUAUUUCUUCUCUAAUUUCUAUUAUUCUGUGAUGGAGAAUCUGGUUAUGUGACAGUAGACAAGCAGAGUCGGAGUACAUACUGAUGAGGACAAAGGAGAGCAUAUGAGAUGCAAGAAAAUAUGUGUUCUUGUUCUCUUUAAGGUCCAACCUAAUCACAUACUGGAUCCCAAUGAUGAUUUAGAGAAGGACACAUGUCAAAUGACCAUUGGCUAUAUUAUUCAACAUGUCAGAGAUUGUUGGCCACUAUCACUAUGUGCCAAAUAACUAGUGGUUAUUGGGCCUGUGGAUUCCGUCAGUGUUUGGACUGUCACCAGGUGAUGAGAUGUUUAUAUCAUGUACCACCACUCCGAUGCAGUUGUCGAACUUGAGGUGGCAUUGGGGACUGUUUUGAAUUGUAAUGCCUGUGACCAAUGCAUUGA